GUGAAUCAUCGAAUUUUUGAACGCAAAUUGCACUCUCUGCGAAGAGGAUGCCUGUUUGAGUGUCAGCCUAUGAAAAAUCGACAUCGUUGCUGUUUCGCGGUUACGUUCGUCGGAAAUUGGGUCAUGUUAAAUUUUUUUUGUUUUAAGCGACUUAAAAUUUUCUUUUUGGUUCCUUGAACGUAUCUAAGAGUUAUUUCUUUACACGGUUAUGGGUAUCGCUUUUUAUUAGACUUA
rnacentral:misc_RNA from 1 species